CGGAACCGCGCGGAGUCACGUGCCCGAGCUAAGGUGGCUGCCGCCGUGUAGCGCCGCGCCCGCGACCCGCCGCCCGGCCCGCACGGGCUCCUGGGGCUCCUCCCGCUCCCGGCCGCGCCUGUCGGGCCCUGAGAGCCCCGUCCCCGGCGUGGAGCGGCGGCCGCCGGGCCGGGGCUGAGCCCGCUGGCGGCGGCGGCGGCAGCAUGAACCCGGAGAAGGAUUUCUCGCCCCUGGCGCCCAGCGUGGUGCGGGCCCUGAACGACAAGCUCUACGAGAAGCGGAAGGUGGCGGCGCUGGAGAUCGAGAAGUUGGUGCGAGAAUUUGUGGCUCAGAACAACGCAGCGCAGAUCAAGCAUGUCAUCCAGAUCCUGUCGCAAGAGUUCGCGCUCUCACAGCACCCUCACAGCAGGAAAGGGGGGCUCAUCGGCCUGGCAGCCUGCUCCAUUGCUCUCGGGAAGAAAUCAAAUGGCUUAAAGAUGAGUGGAUUGAAACCUUCUGCCGAACAAUUGCAAGAAGACCUGGCAGGAGACUUGGCAGUCACUGUUGGCUUCAGUAGGACUAUUGUCCCUGGUUCCUGGCUUAAACAGGAGGAUUCUGGGCUGUACCUGAAAGAGCUGAUUGAGCCGGUGCUGACUUGCUUCAACGAUGCUGACAGCCGACUGCGGUACUAUGCUUGCGAGGCCCUGUAUAACAUCGUCAAGGUGGCCAGGGGCUCUGUCCUCCCACACUUCAACGUGCUGUUUGAUGGCCUCAGUAAGCUUGCCGCUGAUCCAGACCCAAAUGUGAAAAGCGGCUCUGAACUACUGGAUCGACUUCUCAAGGACAUCGUGACUGAGAGUAACAAGUUUGACCUCGUGGGUUUCAUCCCGCUGCUGCGGGAGAGGAUUUAUUCCAACAACCAGUACGCCCGGCAGUUCAUCAUAUCCUGGAUCCUGGUGCUUGAGUCGGUGCCUGACAUUAAUCUCCUGGGUUACCUGCCGGAGAUCCUGGAUGGACUCUUCCAGAUCCUGGGAGAUAACAGCAAAGAGAUCCGGAAGAUGUGUGAGGUGGCCCUCGGGGAGUUCCUUAAAGAGAUCAAGAAGAAUCCUUCCAGCGUCAAAUUUGCAGAAAUGGCCAAUAUUCUAGUGAUUCACUGUCAGGCUUCUGAUGAUCUGAUUCAGCUGACAGCCAUGUGCUGGAUGAGGGAAUUCAUCCAGCUGGCUGGUCGGGUGAUGCUGCCCUACUCCUCAGGGAUCCUGACCGCUGUUCUGCCAUGCCUAUCCUAUGAUGACCGGAAGAAGAGCAUCAAAGAGGUAGCUAAUGUGUGUAACCAGAGCCUGAUGAAGCUGGUCAUCCCAGAAGAUGACGAAACGGAUGAGGGCAAGCAAUCCCUGAGCCUCCAGAUGGAACCCAAGGAGGAAUCCCUCUCCCAGCAGCAGGUGACCUCCAGCGGCUGCCUGGAAGCCUCCAGCAAUUCCAGCCUCAGCAGCGCCAGUGUCUUCAAUGCAAGCAGCACUGACCAGGUCCCGGUGACCCUCAACCUCGACGGGAUAGUGCAGGUAUUGGACUGCCACCUUCACGACACAGCCACCGGGAUGAUGACCAGAAUUGCAGUCCUAAAAUGGCUCUAUCACUUGUACAUCAAGACUCCACGGAAGAUGUUCCGGCAUACAGACAGCCUCUUUCCCAUUUUGCUGCGGACCUUGUCGGAUGAGUCAGACGAGGUUAUCCUGAAGGACCUAGAAGUUUUGGCUGAGAUCGCCUCCUCUCCUGCAGGUCAAACGGAAGAUCAGGGGCCAUGUGAUGGCUCUGAUAUGCGAUUCAGCCAAUCGGAGUUACACAUUCCCGUCAAAGCCAGCCAGCUGAGCUCCUCUGGUAUGAAAGGCAUGGAGUGCUCCCCCUCAACCCCCACCAUGAACUCCUACUUCUACAAAUUCAUGAUUAACCUACUCAAGAGAUUCAGCAGUGAGCGGAAGCUGCUGGAGACCAGAGGAGCAUUCAUCAUCAGGCAGCUUUGUCUGCUUCUCAAUGCAGAAAACAUCUUCCACUCCAUGGCAGACAUCCUGCUGCGGGAAGAGGACCUCAAGUUUGCCUCGACUAUGGUCCACACUCUCAACACAAUAUUGCUGACUUCCUCCGAGCUCUUCCAGCUGAGAAACCAGCUGAAGGACCUGAAGACCCCGGAGAGUCGUAACCUGUUCUGCUGUCUCUACCGCUCCUGGUGCCACAACCCUGUGACGACCGUGUCCCUCUGCUUCCUCACCCAGAACUACAAACAUGCUUACGACCUCAUCCAGAAGUUGUAUCCUUUUCAGAGCUGCCGGGGGUCUCUGAGGGAGUGGGCAGGGGAAGAGCAGGAGGGCAGCAGUGGUAACGUUACGUAGCCUAAACAGGGCAGCAGACCUGCCAAGCUGACUCUCCCUGGCUCACAAGGUCAGAGCUGAGGAGCCAGCCUUGCCUCUGUUUUCAUAACAAACAGUGGUAGAGUUAAACAGCUGAUUAAGGAUGGUCCCUAACCAGGCCAUUUCUAUCCCCUGGGCCAGGAGGGAAUCUCGGUAUAUUGUAUGCUUCAUUGUGUAAGGGAACUGCCUCAAGGGCCUGAGUUCAUUGCCUGCACCCACUCUUGCAAGAAGCCCAAAUAAUUCUGAAAAAGUCUGAAACUCUCCCCUCUGGUGUGGUACCCGCCACUGGGGCUUUUCAGACAAAUAAAGGGGCAUCUGCAAGUUGAGAGAGCGGCCAGUGCAAUGAAUUGGUUCAAAAUUGCUCUGUGCUCAUGACUAGGACAGCAGAUAAUUUUCUCCUUAGUCUUCCUGCUGUUGCCUGCUUGUGAAACCAGUUCUCUGUUCAACAGAGCACAGAGAAAGCAGUGAACCAACACCCCAGACCCUCCCCUUUGGAGAGGAAGAUGGGCCUGUGGCAAGGGGACUAGCAUGGGACUUUGGAGUUCUGAGUUGGACCAGCAUCUUUCAGAAUCUGUUGGAGAUGGCCAGUGUCAUGACAAGUAGUCUCCUGGGCAUGAUGUGCACACAUCACAACGACAGCCACUCUCUCCUUCAUCCAUCAGCCGUCUUUGCAUGGCUCUCCCCGGGAAACAGGAUGUGCUUUAAGAGCAGCCUCUAAGAAGGUGGCAGUCAGGGUUGGGUCAGCAGCACCAUUUCCAUGUAAGCCGGGUGCAGAGAACGUCAGCUAUUUGACUAGAUGCUUCCAGCCAGGGGCCUCUGUUUGCCAGGACAGGUUGCUGUGAAGGACACGGCUCACAAGAGUUGUUCACACGUGCAUACACUUGGCAUCUCCUUUGAAGUCAUCCACCGUUUCACCUUUUCUGGCUGCCAUUAUUUUCCCCUCCCUUCAGAUGAGCUGGGAGCUCUAGCGAACAGCAUUCUUGCCCUGUUCCAUAAUGGUUUUGAGCGGGGAGUUGUAUGAUGUGGCUAUGAACUGCAUUUUUCUUCCUGCUCCACAGUGGAGUGAAUGACCUGAUUGGUGACAGACUGCAGCAAAGAUGUUGCUUCUGGGACAGCGGCUAUGAUGCCCCCGUAACCUCACCGUGAACAGGAAGCCAGUCUUCCACAGUUCCCAGUGACCCUCGUCUUUCUGGCUUACAUGGGACAGUGAGUGGAGUUGUGGGUCUGGGAUCAUUCCGAGGGGUGAGCGCCCGCUCUGAGGGGAUGGCAGCACACAGUACUUCACUUCUUGCUCUAAAUGCAGCAGAAAGCACAAGCCCAAGCUCCUCUAGCCAGCAGGAGCUGGGAGCACAAUGAUCUGCGCCUGCAGCUGCUGGAUGUGAAGAACAACCCCUACCUGAUCAAGGCUCUCUACGGGCUGCUGAUGCUUCUGCCUCAGAGCAGUGCCUUCCAGCUCCUCUCCCACCGUCUGCAGUGUGUGCCCAACCCCGAGC